CACAACAGGGCUAUUUGUAAUAACCUUUAAGCUUAGGGGAAGGGGUGAAAAUUUAAAGACGGAUCUGUUUUCCUUAGGAUACAGUGGUAUAUGGAACUGUUAGGUCUAGAACAGACCAACUGAAAACACGUUAGUAAUAUUUAAUAAGCACUGUGAACUUUCAACGAUGCUGAAAAGUUACAGUUUAAGGAGGAGAAGAUGGCUCUGGGGAAGGGAAAUCAAGCUCGGAGAGGGGAGCCAAGAGCCAAGUGCGGAGCCAGUGACAUUUAAGGGGAACAGGGACUACGUGGAUCUGGCAACCAAAGAGGUAUUAUCAAUUGUCAAACAUGUGUAAAAAAAUGCAACAUCUAAAGCAAUCUUUGUUUCCUGUUCUCUCCACUUCUGCAAUCAAGAGAAGGCUAACAGACGGUGACACUGUGGGAGGGCUGGAGUCAGCUGCCAUGAACUGCGGCCCCGCCAUGCCACCUUGCCUUGGAGCCAACUGAGUAUGGACUGAAACCUCUAAGAACUGUAAGAAAUAAACCUUUCCUUCCCUAACUUGGUCAUCAAGUAUUUUGUCUCACAAAAUAAAAUGAGUAAAAAGUAACUAAGACAUGCGCAUAGAUAUCAAGAUCCUGGCUAAAAAGCAUUCAGCUUCAUGGAGUAUAAAUUUAGUAUAUGGCUGGAUAUGAUGGCACAUGCCUGCAAUCCCAGAACUCGGGAGGAUCACUCCAAGUUUAAGACCAGUUUGUACUGCGAAGUGACUUCAAGGCCAGCUUGAACUGCACAGUGAAACCUUGUCUCAAAAUAAAUAAAUACAGUAUAAUGAGUUAUGGUGAUAACAAAGAAGCUGGAGCUUUACACUAAGAAGGCUAAGAACAGAAGAUGGUCUUUGAACUGAGUAUAGGUGAAUGAAAGGGGCUCACUAAGUAGGACACAAUACUCUAGCCCGGGAUAAAAUUGCAUACAAUGGCUUGGAUGUUUAAACAUUCUAUAUGGUGGCUGAGAUCAAGUCCACCCUGAAAUGCAUAGUGAGACUUCUUCUCAAAAGAAAAAAAUUCUAAAUGGCAUAUUUGAGCUAUUACCAAAGAUUUAGUAAAACUAACCAUUAUAAUAAGUUCUCUUAGAGUGAAGUGUAUCAUGAUGAACUCAGAG